GGAGGUGUGGUACAGUGGUGUAGUGCUGUACCUGGAAGCAGAGGUUUUUUUCUCUUUUCCCUACUGCGUAGGUUCGAUUCCUGCCACCUUCU